AAGCAGCUUGCUGCUUCGCUGACGAGUGGCGGACGGGUGAGUAAUGUCUGGGAAACUGCCUGAUGGAGGGGGAUAACUACUGGAAACGGUAGCUAAUACCGCAUAACGUCGAAAGACCAAAGAGGGGGACCUUCGGGCCUCUUGCCAUCGGAUGUGCCCAGAUGGGAUUAGCUUGUUGGUGGGGUAAUGGCUCACCAAGGCGACGAUCCCUAGCUGGUCUGAGAGGAUGACCAGCCACACUGGAACUGAGACACGGUCCAGACUCCUACGGGAGGCAGCAGUGGGGAAUAUUGCACAAU
rnacentral:rRNA from 1 species